rnacentral:misc_RNA from 1 species
UUCGGUAGGCAACUACCGUAUGAGGGCAGUAGAAACUCUUUGGGUCGCCUCAAAGGGGAGUAUGCUGCUUUUCUUAACCCUUGACUUUUUGCAAACCCCAGUUUCCUCGGCAGGCUUGCCUGCCGACUGGACAAUUUAUAACCUUUUUAAUUCUCAAUCAGCGUCUGAAUAAUUUUAAUAAUUACAACUUUCAACAACGGAUCUCUUGGUUCU